AAGAGUGUCACCAUUGCAGCAAAUGCUUGACAUUCGGUACACUUUCUGAGGGAUCUCUGUGGGAUCCCAGCUGGACCAAAGUGAAAACUGUGCUGAUCCUGGAUUAAGAGGACCCGGGUUCAAAAGUGCCUUGGAUGGAGAAGAUGUGUUCUUCAUCAUCGUUCUUCAGGAAUGAUCCCAACAGAAUCAGAGCUUUAAGGCUAAACCUCGUAACUUUAAGAGAAAGAGCCCAUUGUUGUCGAUGGUUUUUGUGGAUGGACAACACUGCCCUCCGAUGGGUGGAGUGGCUGGCCAGAUCACAGCCAGAGCUGAUUGUUUCUGCCUCAAGGACCUGAAGGCCGAGCCUGAGCAAUCGCACCUGUGAGACCCAGCAAGUAAUCCCUGGCGGCCUGGGACUGUCUGGUAGCAUUCAGGGCAACUCACACUGUCAAUACCAGGGGAGCAAUUGUGCAUGUGAAAAGGGAGCGAGAG